rnacentral:lncRNA from 1 species
UGCAGUUCUAUCACGAACGAGGGCAGAAGUACUAGAGUCCUUAGUUUAUCCGGAUAUUACAGGAUGAAGUCUACCUGCCGAAGGCCAUCCUGAAAAUUAUUCAGGUAAUAACGAGACAGAGCACUCAUACCAUCUUUGAGCAAACCAAAUACUGUCUGCCUUCCAUAUCUGCAUCCAACGAGAGACAUGUUACUAAGAAGUGGUCUCACAGAACAAAAUACAGCAAAUAUCUAUGGAAAAAAAGCCACCUGACGAGGUCCCCUUUUAAAGCAUGGGUACCAGAGUAUUCCAGGCUGAUUUCGUCACCAUUCGUUGCCCAUACUAGAAAAGGAAAGAUAGCGGGGAAAUCAAUUAGGUAAAGUCAGUGAAAAUAGAAGAACUAUUGAGAGCAAGCAAAUGAGGCAUUGAGUUUUGGAAAAUUCCUCACAAAUUCUAAACUUCUCGUAAAGAUCGUCAUAUGUAGAUAUGCACUCAUUUGAGGACAGGACUCCCAUUUUCUGCAGUUGCAUGUUCAAUGAUUUCCUCCCUAUGUAGCUCUGAGAAACCAGGAAUUAAAAUAUGGAUGUAAAGGAGUUGGAGUGAACCAUCGAAAGUCACACUACUGAUCAAGAAAAAGAAUGAAACGAAAUAUAGUAGGGUCAAUGACAUUAUUAGUAAUUAUGUCUUUUUUAUUCAUUCGAUGGGUAGAAUUGCCAUGAAUUCACAUCUGAUAAUAUCCCACUGGAACUGGGCUAUAUAAUCGCUUGCUGCAUAGCAGGCAACUAAAUUUCACAAUAGAAGCACAAUCAACCAGGCAGUUAAUUGCAGUACGAAUUUUGACAUCAAAUCGACCUGGAGAUGAUUGAUAUCAGUUGAUCUAUUUCGGCAAAACCGUUGAGCACAAUUAAAGUCUUCCUUAAAACCGACAUCAUCUAUUGUAAAAGUUGAGGACAGCUCCAUACGAUAUUAGAUAUUAUCCUGCAUAUUAUCCCAACUUGGUACUGCCUGACGAAUAAUUUCUUGUACAUUAUGUUUUCAUUUUUUUUUUUCUCAAGUCGUACAUGGCAAUGUCUGAGUUUAACAUGAUCAUCAUCCUACCUAUUCAAUAUUUAUUUCCAGAUCCGAAUUGUUUUCUCUUAUCCAAGUAUCAGUACAAACAAUGAGAUAAAUCAUGUCAUACCUGAGUGACAUUAGUACGAUCCAGACAAUCAAUGCAGUUUGCUCUAACUACCCCUUUCUGCUCCACAGGUGUUUCACUGUCCGAACUCAGUAGGAAAAAUCUGCUCAGCUGGCACAAAAACCGAUUAAGUGGACAUUACAUGAAAUCACUAACAGGUAGGUAAUUGUACGAAAAAAAUUGAAGUGAUUGCGGCAUACCCUUGCUUCUCUACAGCU